rnacentral:rRNA from 1 species
AUAGCGUAUAUUAAAGUUGUUGUGGUUAAAAAGCUCGUAGUUGAACCUUGGGCCUGGCUGGCCGGUCCCCCUCACCGGGUGUACUGGUCCGGCCGGGUCUUUCCCUCUGUGGAACCUCAUGCCCUUCACUGGGUGUGCUGGGGAAACAGGACUUUUACUUUGAAAAAAUUAGAGUGCUCCAGGCAGGCCUAUGCUCGAAUACUUCAGCAUGGAAUAAUAGAAUAGGACGUGUGGUUCUAUUUUGUUGGUUUCUAGGACCACCGUAAUGAUUAAUAGGGAUAGUCGGGGGCAUCAGUAUUCAAUUGUCAGAGGUGAAAUUCUUGGAUUAAUUGAAGACUAACUACUG